GUGGAAACGCUGGCUAAUACCGCAUACAUCCUUUGGAAGAAAAAGGGGGAUCUUCGGACCUCUUGCUGUUUGAUGAGCCCCCGUUGGAUUAACUAGAUGGUGGGGUAAAGGCCUACCAUGGUGACGAUCCAUAGCUGGUCUGAGAGGACGAUCAGCCACAUUGGGACUGAUACACGGCCCACACUCCUACGGGAGGAAACAGUGGGGAAUAUUGCUCAAUGGGCGCAAGCCUGAUGCAUCCUUGCCCCGUGUGUGAAAAAGGCCCUAGGGUUGUAAAACACUUUCAAUGGGGAAGAAAGGAGUAGCGUUAAUACCGCUGUUCUGUGACAUUACCCAUAAAAAAAGUCCGGCUAACUCCGUGCCAGCAGCCGCGGUAAUACAGAGGGUGCGAGCGUUAGUCAGAAUUACUGGGCGUAAAGCGCGCGUAGGCGGUAACUUAAGCUGGAUGUGAAGUCCCCGGGCUCUGCCCGGGAACUGCGUUCCGAACUGGCUUGCUAUAGUACACAAGAGGGUGGUGGAAUUUCGAGUGUAACGGUGAAAUGCGUAGAGAUUGGAAGGAAAAUCAGUGGCGAAACGGCCACCUGGUCUGAUACUGACGCUGAGGUGCGAAAGCGUGAGGAGCACACAGGAUUAGAUACCCUGGUAGUCCACGCCGUAUACGAUGUCUACUAGCUGAUGGGUUCCUUGAGGAU
rnacentral:rRNA from 1 species